CAACCAUCAAGCCCCCGGCUUGCGUUGGGGACCUGCGGCUGCCGCAGGCCCUGAAAACCAGUGGCGGGCUCGCUAGUCACUCCGAGCGUAGUAGUUACAUCUCGCUCAGGGCGUGCUGCGGGUUCCGGCCGUUAAAAAGCCUUAUUUUACCCCAAGG
rnacentral:misc_RNA from 1 species